rnacentral:rRNA from 1 species
CCUACGGGGGGCUGCAGUGGGGAAUAUUGCACAAUGGGGGAAACCCUGAUGCAGCGACGCCGCGUGAGCGAAGAAGUAAUUCGUUACGUAAAGCUCUAUCAGCAGGGAAGAAAAUGACGGUACGUGAGUAAGAAGCCCCGGCUAACUACGUGCCAGCAGCCGCGGUAAUACGUAGGGGGCAAGCGUUAGCCGGAAUUACUGGGUGGAAAGGGAGCGUAGACGGUUCGCCGAGGCUGGAGUGAAAUGCCGCAGUUUAACUGCGGAACUGCUUUGGAAACUGGAGAACUAGAGUGCGGGAGGGGUAAGCGGAAUUCCUAGUGUAGCGGUGAAAUGCGUAGAUAUUAGGAAGAACACCGGUGGCGAAGGCGGCUUACUGGACCGUAACUGACGUUGAGGCUCGAAAGCGUGGGGAGCAAACAGGAUUAGAUACCCCAGUAGUC